rnacentral:rRNA from 1 species
GACGAACGCUGGCGGCGUGCCUAAUACAUGCAAGUAGAACGCUGAAGAGAGGAGCUUGCUCUUCUUGGAUGAGUUGCGAACGGGUGAGUAACGCGUAGGUAACCUGCCUGGUAGCGGGGGAUAACUAUUGGAAACGAUAGCUAAUACCGCAUAAAAUGGAUUAUCGCAUGAUAAUCCAUUGAAAGGUGCAAAUGCAUCACUACCAGAUGGACCUGCGUUGUAUUAGCUAGUUGGUGGGGUAACGGCUCACCAAGGCGACGAUACAUAGCCGACCUGAGAGGGUGAUCGGCCACACUGGGACUGAGACACGGCCCAGACUCCUACGGGAGGCAGCAGUAGGGAAUCUUCGGCAAUGGACGGAAGUCUGACCGAGCAACGCCGCGUGAGUGAAGAAGGUUUUCGGAUCGUAAAGCUCUGUUGUAAGAGAAGAACGAGUGUGAGAGUGGAAAGUUCACACUGUGGCGGUAUCUUACCAGAAAGGGACGGCUAACUACGUG